rnacentral:rRNA from 1 species
AGCAGCCGCGGUAAUUCCAGCUCCAAUAGCGUAUAUUAAAGUUGUUGCAGUUAAAAAGCUCGUAGUUGAAUUUCGGGAUUGGCGCAUCGGUCGUGCCUCACGGGGUAUGAACUGGUGCAGUCAAUUUCUCACCUUCUGGAGAACCGCGAUGUCCUUAAUUGGAUGCCGCGGGGAACCAGGACCUUUACUUUGAAAAAAUUAGAGUGUUUAAAGCAGGCAUUUUUGCUUGAAUACAUUAGCAUGGAAUAAUAAAAUAGGACGGCAUGGUUCUAUUUUGUUGGUUUCUAGGACCACCGUAAUGAUUAAUAGGGAUAGUUGGGGGCAUUAGUAUUCAAUUGUCAGAGGUGAAAUUCUUGGAUUUAUUGAAGACUAACUUCUGCGAAAGCAUUUGCCAAGGAUGUUUUCAUUAAUCAAGAAUGAAAGUUAGGGGAUCGAAGACGAUCAGAUACCGUCGUAGUCUUAACCAUAAACUAUGCCGACUAGGAAUCAGACGAUGUUAAUUUUUAAUGACUCGUUUGGC